UACAGAGGUCUCAAGCGUUGUUCGGAUUCAUUGGGCGUAAAGGGUGCGUAGGCGGCGCGGUAAGUCGGGUGUGAAAUCUUGGAGCUUAACUCCGAAACUGCAUUCGAUACUGCCGUGCUUGAGGACUGGAGAGGAGACUGGAAUUUACGGUGUAGCGGUGAAAUGCGUAGAGAUCAUGAGGAAGACCAGUGGCGAAGGCGGGUCUCUGGACAGUUCCUGACGCUGAGGCACGAAGGUCAGGGGAGCAAACGGG
rnacentral:rRNA from 1 species